GAUGAACGCUGGCGGCGUGCCUAAUACAUGCAAGUCGAGCGAACAGACGAGGAGCUUGCUCCUCUGACGUUAGCGGCGGACGGGUGAGUAACACGUGGAUAACCUACCUAUAAGACUUGGAUAACUUCGGGAAACCGGAGCUAAUACCGGAUAAUAUAUUGAACCGCAUGGUUCAAUAGUGAAAGACGGUUUUGCUGUCACUUAUAGAUGGAUCCGCGCCGCAUUAGCUAGUUGGUAAGGUAACGGCUUACCAAGGCAACGAUGCGUAGCCGACCUGAGAGGGUGAUCGGCCACACUGGAAGUGAGACACGGUCCAGACUCCUACGGGAGGCAGCAGUAGGGAAUCUUCCGAAAUGGGCGAAAGCCUGACGGAGCAACGCCGCGUGAGUGAUGAAGGUCUUCGGAUCGUAAAACUCUGUUAUUAGGGAAGAACAAAUGUGUAAGUAACUAUGCACGUCUUGACGGUACCUAAUCAGAAAGCCACGGCUAACUACGUG
rnacentral:rRNA from 1 species